rnacentral:misc_RNA from 1 species
AAAACAUAUAGAUAUCAAGUUUUUUUAAUCUGCCAUUCGGUUGGAUAAGAUAAGAUUGUGCCAUGGCUUUGCCGGUUGACAACUGCAACCAAACAUUCUAUCAUCAUAUCUCUGUUUCCGAACGUUGUAAGGUGUAGAAUAUGGCGACGAAAAGCGGAAGAAAAGAAAUCUAUCAUAUCUUUUUGCUGAGCUUGCUUCGCAAGGCUUACAUCAAUAUAGAUUAGGCAAUACUCCUCGAAAGGAUCCAGACAAUUUCGAAGGUACGUGGCCGUUGAACGAACAUUUUGACAGGUUUAAUUCUUGAUGACUAAUUUUCCUUUAUUACAAAUAAUAUGCGAUAUCUAAUCACUGAAAAUUCUGCUUUUUAUUUUAACUGCUUUAAAAGUAAAUAAAAACUUCGUUGCAUUUCAUUCCAUGAAAGAAUUGAACCCAUAGCCGCUAAAUUUGUAAUUAUAACGACCCAAAACAUGCUUAAAAUUCUCAACGUAUUCCGAAAAAUUGUGAAAUUGGACGAAACCGAAGAAGGAAAGCUUGGCAGUGGUAGUUAUGGAAUCGUCUGUAACGGAAUUUACGAAAAAAAGGUGGUAGCAGUCAAGAAAAUAUUGAAAGAACAUGGUGAUCGUGAAAAAAUUGCCAAAACUCGAAGAGAAAUGGAAGAACAUAAAGGCCUUGAUCAUGAAAAUGUACUGAGGUUACUUUACGUUGAGGAUACGACUAACAAAGACUUUACAUAUCUCGUUCUGGAACUGUGCGCUGGAACAUUGACGGACUAUUGCGGAAGCAAAUCUAAAGGACCAAUUUUGCCACCGGAUGAGCUGGUCCUUUACCAAAUCGCCAACGGGUUGAAUUACAUUCAUUCAAGAGAUUUGGUGCACCACGAUGUGAAGCCAGAUAACAUCCUCAUCUCAUCAAUGUCAACACCUGUCAAAAUGAAGUCAUCCGAUUACGGAUUUGUUUAAAAAGUGAGUGCUCAAAAAACUUUUUCGCAGAGCGGAUUAAAAGGAACUUUGAACUGGAUGGCACCUGAAAUGUUGGAAAUUCUAAAUAGUGCCACUGAUGAAACGGAAGUACUGCCACGUGGAACAAUUGAAAGUGAUACAUUUUCAGCUGGAUGUGUCUUUUUCUAUUUUGUGUCUCGCGGCUUGCAUCCAUUCGGCAGUCCUGUUCUCGUUCCCAGCAAUAUCGUGCAAAACAAUCCCAUGCAGUUCGACAGCUACAAACAAAGGAAAUGGAACGCAGUUGGCUGCUGGCUGCACAAGUGGUGACGUCUAAUAUGUCUGGAGUUAUCCCGGUGGUGAGCUUCUUUUUCAAACGGAACAACAUUUGCAGCUGAUCAAGCACCUUGAAUGGAAUCCAAUCAAACAUGACUGGCUGGCUACAUCCACUUUCUUGGAAAACCAAGUGUGCUUGAAUUCGUCGUCAAGCCAAUCAGUGAAAAAAUUUUACUGCACAAGUGAUGGCAAGGGAUACAUCAUGUGUGUAAAGUGGAUAUCUGAAAAUCAGAUCGCUCUAGCGCCAGACCGUGGUGGAAUUGAGGUUUAGGACAUUCACGAAAUGCAAUCAAAGUUCAGUGCGAAAAUUGUUCGAAAAUACAAAGAAAACCUGAGUUUUUCUUUGAAAUUUAAAAAAAUAUUAAUUCUAAUUCAUUUGCUCUUUUACUUGUUGCAGCAUUGCGUAACCGAUUUGCACUGGAAUGAAAAUACGAAAUAUUUGGCCUCUUGUAUGUCAUCCAAUGGCAUUAAGAUUUGGUCAACAGACAGCGAAGAGCCCGUUCACAGCAACAAUUCGUGGAAACAUUCAGGAGUUCAUUAUUUCACUUGUUGUCCAAACUUGAAACCGAGAGAAGACAUCGAAGCUGAAAGGAAAUCGCCCAACAACUUCGUUUUUGCUUGUGCCCUGCUAUAUGGAGAGAUUUUAAUUUGGAAUCCUUUGGAAAAGGAGCAAGAAAACCGGAUUCUUCGUCCUCAUACGCAUCGAGGAUGGGUUAACGCUUUUUGGCUUUCCUUUUCACCUGACGGGCGGUUUCUUUCUUCUUCAUCAGACUAUUCCAAUUAUAUAAUAAUCCUAUGGUCGACUGAAACAUGGACGCCCACUUUCACCAUUCGAGCUCCAUACGGUUUUUUUCACCGUCCUUCGUGGUGGUCCGGGGAUGCUAAUGAAUAUAAAAUAGCAUGUCCCAGGGACAAUCAGCUCCACUUGAUUGAAUACACCGUCAGCAACGAACCAAGCUAACGCCAUAAAUAGUUUCUUACGUAAAUAUUGUUUGACUCGCAAUUUAAAAAGCCGCAUACAAAAAACCACUUCAAACUACUUGUCAAUAAACUGAAAAUGAAAUGCAGCCGACAUUGCUAUUCCUUUUUGUUUUCGGAAAAGAUGCUUAGCAACUCAUCAGUAGACACAUUUUAUGCCUCUGUCUCCCAAAAGGGAGGUACAUUUUCCCUUUUUGUGUUAUUGGAGUAUCCGUUUUGAAUUUUUCAACAGUUAAAACAUAAUAGCUGGAUAGAAAAAAACUUGUUUAGAAACUAAUCUGGUCUAGGGUAGAAACUGCAUUUUGUUGCUUCCUCCCUCUUCGUGUUUGUUUCACGAACGAGACGAAACGCAAAACAGUUUAACAAUUCUGCCACUAGUGACAGGUCGGACAAUGCUGCGUCACUGCUUUUAAAUCCGAAUGAGACUAAACCUACAGACGUUUGUUAGUCAAGUUCGUUCUCUGGUUACAAUCAGCACGUCGUCUGUUUCUCGCAAACUUCGAGUUGAGACUAUCACGUUCAGGCGUUCGAUUCAUUUGAUUGUGUGGCGUUAUAAAGGAUUUGCGUCUGGAUAUCUGUGUUUACAUUAUUAUUAUACUUACCAUUCUACUGUAUGCAUUAUACAAAUAAUUUUAUCUACCUAGAUUUACGGCAUCAAAGCUUAUUACCUCGUCUGUCGUACAACUAAGUCACUUCCUUUAGCUUUUAUACCUAAUUUGCCUUUCAAAGUUUACAGUUAAUUAAAUAUAAUAAUAAUAAUAAUGUAAAGUCUGUUGCUCGACUAUCUUUUUUAUAGCUAGGCUACUACUCCAGCUUCAGCGGUCACUUUGUCUUCUUUCAGUUUAACCGAAGAUUAACUAUAGUCUAAUGCUACAUUUUUUUCGUUUCAAUAUUUGGCUCCUUCUUCCUUGGGAAAUGCAUGCGUGAUCGUCGACGUGAAAAAAAAUCAUUCGAAGGAUUAUUUGCAGUUAAAGAUAUGACCAACUUUACAAUUGUAUAGGCUACAUGUUGUGAAUGGAAGGUUGUACAUGUCGCCAGCAUGCAACAGUGGUCAAUCAAUAACGCAAACAUUAGUAAAAAUGUUUCAAUCAUUUAUUCAUCAUUUCUAUUCGCAAACGGAAAAUGUUUCAUAUGAACUAUGAUCGUUAAUCACGUCUCAUUUGCAACAGGUGAAACGGACGUCAUUCAAGGCCGUGUUGUCGUAGUGUCCAAUUCCUCCAUCGUACGGCUGGACACGAGUUUCCAUUCCGCAAAUGCCAAUUUCACAUUCUUCGCUGUACUGGCCCCAAUCGCCAUGAGUGUUGCCUAGGCCGUUAAUUUCUCCGCCGUUAGAACAUCUAAAACGGAUGUCAUUGGCUGCAGUGUUGUCCGCCUCACUACCAUUAGGACUCACUCGCAACUGGAAACUCUUCAUGUAGCCACCAAAAGGGCACGUCUGAACCGCGUAAUAAUCUCCAGAACUGCAUGCAAACGUUCAGGAUGAACCAUGAAAAUAAUUUGUAAAAGAUUACAUCGAUAAUUCUGUGAUCUCUAUUUGUAGCUUUUACAAUCCAAUUGAGGACGUCAAAUUGGUUACGAAUUCAUCGUUGCAAAACAGAACGAUGGUGUUGAGCGCCGUGUCGUCAAAUCGUGGUGUGGCGAGCUCGUUUCGGGUCUGGUAACUGACGACUCUCGAUCCACCCGGGCAGUGCUUUAGCGGUCCCCACUCACCUUCCGUUCCACCGUUAGUUACUGUAAUAACUUCAAUUGGCGGUCUAGUGGUACUGGGUGGUAGCGUUGGUAUGAUGGUCUCUUCUGUUUGACAAUUGACACCGAUGGCUACGGACAGCAGAUAGAAGUUUACCACGAGUUUAAACAUCUUGACUAAUUGUGGUGAGAGUAGAAAAUAUACUGCGCUGCUGAAUUUCA